AGUUAUCAGCUAUCAGAGGGAAGAUGCCUUCCUAGAGAUAAGCUGCUCUUCAGUGGGGCUCCUGGACACCUGGGAAACUUCCUUCCUUUUGUAACCCCCUCUCAGAUGGGUGCACAGGUGGAGACAUAUGCACAUGCAUGCAGACAUGAGUUCUACUAGGCAAAGGGCAAAUGACAAAUGACAGAUGUUCAGGAAUUAGGCUGCUUUGAGAAGAUGAUAAAAAGUGAAAUUCUUUUGAACAAAAGUUGAACUCACACCUGCUCCUAUCAUUCUGCAUACCUAGAAUUUAUUUGCAAUGUGAGGACUGAUCCAUCCAAUUAAUAAUGAACAUACUGUAUGAAUAAUUCUGCACUUUCACCUUUGAAUUGCCAUUUCCCUGGUUCUCUGAUGCUAAUAAUUGCUAAUAAUUAGAUAGCCAUACUCACGUUCUGGAAGAAAAAAUAAAUAAAUGGCUCAAGAGAGCUCUGAAGGUU